GACAGAGGGUGCAACCGUUGUUCGGAAUUACUGGGCGUAAAGCGCGUGUAGGCUGCUCCGAUAGUCGGAUGUGAAAGCCCUGGGCUCAACCUAGGAAGUGCAUUCGAUACUCCGGAGCUCGAGUCCUGGAGAGGAAGGCGGAAUUCUCGGUGUAGAGGUGAAAUUCGUAGAUAUCGAGAGGAACACCUGCGGCGAAGGCGGGUUGCUGGGCUGACACUGACGCUGAAGCGCGAAAGCUAGGGGAGCGAACGGG
rnacentral:rRNA from 1 species